GAGUGGCGAACGGGUGAGUAACACGUUGGUGACCUGCCCCGAGGUGGGGGAUAACCGUGGGAAACCACGGCUAAUACCCCAGAUGUUAAGGAGUUUAGACGUCCUUAACUAAAGUUCCGGCGCCUCGGGAGGGGCCUGCGGGCUAUCAGCUUGUUGGUGGGGUAAUGGCCUACCAAGGCUAAGACGGCUAGGGGGCGUGAGAGCGCGACCCCCCACAAUGGAACUGAGACACGGUCCAUACUCCUAUGGGAGGCAGCAGUGAGGAAUAUUGCGCAAUGGGGGAAACCCUGACGCAGCAACGCCGCGUGAACGAUGAAGGCCUUCGGGUUGUAAAGUUCUUUUCUGAGGGAAGAUAAUGACGAUACCUCAGGAAUAAGUCCCGGCUAACUACGUGCCAGCAGCCCCGCGGUAAAACGUAGGGGGCGAGCGUUAUCCGGAUUUAUUGGGCGUAAAGCGCACGUAGGUGGCGCUGUAAGUUGGACGUGAAAGCUCUCGGCUCAACUGAGAGAGGUCGUUCAAAACUGCAGUGCUUGAGGUUGGAAGAGGAGAGUGGAAUUCCCGGUGUAGUGGUGGAAUGCGUAGAUAUCGGGAGGAACACCAGUGGCGAAGGCGACUCUCUGGUCCACACCUGACGCUGAGGUGCGAAAGCGUGGGGAGCGAACGGGAUUAGAUACCCCGGUAGUCCACGCCGUAAACGAUGGAUACUAGGUGUAGGAGGUUAUUUACCCCUUCUGUGCCGAAGCUAACGCGUUAAGUAUCCCGCCUGGGGACUACGAUCGCAAGGUUAAAACUCAAAGGAAUUGACGGGGGCCCGCACAAGCAGCGGAGCGUGUGGUUUAAUUCGAUGAUACGCGAAGAACCUUACCUGGGCUUGACAUGGUGCUGCACGCCUUUCGAAAGGAAGGAAGCCUUCGAGGGUGCUACACAGGUGCUGCAUGGCUGUCGUCAGUUCGUGCCGUGAGGUGUUGGGUUAAGUCCCGCAACGAACGCAACCCUUAUGUUUAGUUGCCACUCCGGGUGAUGAGCCGCAGGGGACUCUAGACAGACUGCCCGUACAAGCGGGAGGAAGGUGGGGAUGACGUCAAGUCAGUAUGGCCCUUACGCCCAGGGCUGCACACGUGCUACAAUGGUUGGUACAAUGGGAUGCUACGCCGCGAGGUGGAGCAAAUCCUUAACGCCGGCCCCAGUUCGGAUUGUAGUCUGCAACUCGACUCCAUGAAGUUGGAUUCGCUAGUAACGGCGCAUCAGCUACGGCACCGUGAAUACGUUCCCGGGCCUUGUACACACCGCCCGUCACAUCAUGAAAGCCGUCUGCACCCGAAGUCGCUGAUCUAACCCGUCUAGGGAAGCAAGUGCCGAAGGUGUGGGUGGUGAUUGGGAUGA
rnacentral:rRNA from 1 species